GGUUAAGAGUUCUUUUUUUCUUUUGCGUUUUUCCAUGAGAAUCAUCCACACGAAUUUCGCUCGUUUCAAUGAUAUUCGGAUCACACAACAGAAGAUCAUAGAUCCAAAAGAUGAUUGUGUGGACGUUCUUUGCUCGUGCUUGAAGAUGGGUUGAUGAUUUAAUCAACAUCAGAGAAAACGAGUGAUUGGUGAAUAGGAGAAAUAAAGAGACAAAUAAGGAGGAGAUGAA